rnacentral:lncRNA from 1 species
CUCGUCUAUGACCAUCUUUCUAUACUUCAAAGAAGUAUAAAUGAUCACCUUGUCUAAGUCCCUUCUAUACUUCAAACCGUAUACUAACUGCUUUCUAUGACAUAGUAUGAGAUUAGUAAAGAUAUGACUCCUGCACCUAACUCAAUUCCAAAAGCUAGAUUAUCGGGGAGGGAAUUAUCCAAGUCUACAUAAGCAAACUGUUAGAUCUUCAAUUAAAGUGGGACUUUCACCCAUUCUAAUACCCCCUUCACGCUCAAGGCUCAAUUCGACCGUGGACCGGGAGCACAAACGAGGAUGGAUUUGACUCUGAUAUCAUAUAUGAUAUGACAGUUGGCCUAACUCAACCCCAAAGCUAGCUCGGAGGUGGGAUUGUUCAAAUCCACAUAAGCAAACCUCAAUCCAUUCUCCAACCAAUGUGAGACUUUCACCCACUCUACCAAGAUUGAUAUAAUGCAAGUUAUGAUUUAUUACAAAUUUGUUCACGAAAUUCAUACAUAUAAGAACUUAUUCUAGAAAUGUCCUACAACAACAAUAAUGACAGUACUCAGUAAAUUUCAUAAGCAGGAUUUAGGGAGUGUAGAGUGUAUGUUGAUCUUACCACUACUUCUUAGCUCGGAGGUAGACAAGUUGUUUUUGAAGGAUCCUGGCUCAAGUAUACUAGAUCGGAUUUAAAAAAAAACAGUAAAAAAAUAUAUCAAUUAAUAAGUAAAGCAAUGCAAAACCUAUAAAAAAGGAACACUAAUAACUUGUUAAAGAUGAUAGAAUACUUACUUUGUUAAAGAUGAUAGAAUACUUCUUUAAAAUAACAAGAAAAUGAAACGGUAUGCAUACAUUUUUUUUUUUAACACAAUAUCAAAUAUAUCAUACAACAGAACAUUUCAUGACCAUGACCAACCAUCCAUAGGAACUAUUCAAUGGUUUUAUUCAUACAAGCAAAAGUUCUAAAUAAAGUAGCAAGAUUAUUAUGUUCUUGCUACUUCCAUUACAAAGGAUUACAUUAAUAAUACAUAAUUAAGCACUAAUUAAUUAGUUCUGUGGCUCAGAUUCAGUGGCUAUUCCCAAGGCCAUGUAUUCUUCAUAGGUGCAGCAUUUGUGAUAUUUGCAUUUAUGGUAACAUCCUUUAUGAUAGCCACCCUUUUUAUAGCCACCUCCGCCAUAGUAAUGGUCAACAUCUACUUCUUUUUCCGCUGCAUCGAUGAAUUGAGAAUAUUAAAACUAGUGAAUAUGCAUUGACUGAUCUUUGAAUUGAAAUUUCUUUUACUAUACAUAUAUUUAUAUAAAUUUUUUUGUUUUAAUCUGAUAUGUUUAAGUUCGCAAGAUUCAAAGGAUAUUUUAAUAUGUUCUACACACAUUUAUAUAAAUUGGUUCUUUUUUUUUUUUUUUUCUUUGGAAUGAAUUCAAUUACAUAAAGAGAAUGAAAGAUGGUACUUACAGUUGGGAGUCUCAGUCAAGUUGGGAGUCUCAGAUUCAGUGGCUAUUCCCAAGGCCAUGUAUUCUUCAUAGGUGCAGCAUUUGUGAUAUUUGCAUUUAUGGUAACAUCCUCCUUUAUGAUAGCCACCCUUUUUAUAGCCACCGCCGCCAUAGUAAUGGUCAACGUCUACUUCUUUCUCCGCUGCAUCGAUGAAUUGAGAAUAUUAAAACUAAUGAAUAUACACUGUCUAAUCUUUGAAUUGAAAUUUCUCUUACUAUACAUAUAUCUAUAUAAAUUUUUAGUUUCAAUAUAAUAUAUUUAAGUUCGCAUGAUUCAAAGGAUAUUUUAAUAUGUUCUACACACCUUUAGUUUAGUUUAUAAGGAUUGAAAAGUUUAUGCUAUAUUCUUCAAAUUCAUGCAUAGCGAGUGAGACAUAAAAUGAAGCAUAAGGAAGGUAUAUCAAGUGUCAUGAUCAAGCUAGUGUUAGUAAAACAUUAGCUUAUCGUCUAACAUUCAUAAAACCUUACAAAUUUUAAUUCAUGGUCUAAUUUUAUAUGCUGGACAUAUCUUUAAUAUGUUACUUUUUUUUUUAUUUAAAGUUAAUUACCCAGAGAUUCGAUGGAAAGAGCAAUAAAAACGCAUAAAGUAAUGCGUAAAGAUAUGCUAAUAUGCCUACAUAGUAACAUCAAUAGUUUUUUUUUUUUUUCUUCGAAUGAAUUCAAUUACAUAAUGAAAGAUAUACUUACUGUUGGGAGUCUCACUCAACUCCCUAGCUACUACUUCGGAGCUUAUCAUUAAGAAAAUAGCCAAAAAUAGGCCUAGCAAUAGAAAUGUUUUGGAACCCAUUCUUUUUUUAUUCCAAAGCUUAGUACUUAUAAUAACUCAAAAUUGAGGGAUGAAGAAACUGAUACAUUCUUGGGCUCUAUUUAUAGGAAGAUUUAUGUGCAUAAAUAAUUGAAGAGAGAUGUAAAACUAGGAGGGGGAGGGACAUGUAUUGGGAUGCAAUUAUUGUUGUGGACCAAAGAAACUUAACAACUUGGUCUACAAGUGAGUUAAAAGAGAUUGUUGAAUUAACUUACUCAAAUUUUUUUUUAAAGUGACAACUCUAACAAGUUUUGUUGUUACUAUAGUAAAGUUGUAAGUAUAUUCUUAAUCUUAAUCAAAUAUUUUAAACUUGAGUUUUGCAUAUGAAGAUCAUUUGUUGACAGUGUUUUAUCAUCUGAAACUUUUUGGUGUGUAUUCCAAAUUUAAUUUAGAUCUAAUACAAAUAUAGUGAUAUAUGAAUACUAGACAUCGAAUGAAACAUAAAAUAAAGUAAAAAAACAAGUCAUCUACAAAGUGUAGGCGUUGCAAGAAAAGUUUUCACAAUGUUCCAACUAAGAAAAUAAAACAAAAAAGAAAAUGAAGAACCUAACGGAUAUUGUGAGUGAUUUUGUUGAAUAUUUUGUCAAUUUGAAUUAUGACAAACGCUUUAUUAGUCACGCAAAUAUUAUGACUUAAUAAGGGUGUGUUUUGCAUGAAGAAAAAUGUUUUUUCAUGAAAUACAUUUUCAUAGAAAAUAUUUUCUCGAAAUAUAAGUGAUUUUUUUAGUUAAUUUUUGAUAAGUAAGUAAAACUGUAAAAGAAUAUUAUAAUAUUAAGAACAUUUAAAUAAAUCUCGCAAUAAGAGGGUUGGAGAAUGAGGGUGAACGGGUAAAAUACUCAAGGGUUGUAGGUGUUGGAAAGCAAAAUUGAAGUAGAUAAAUUUAAUAUUUAAGUUUUAAAAUAUGAAUGUUUGAAAACUCUGUAAAAAUGCUAUAAGCUACUCUCUUCGUUUUAAAUUACUUAACCUCUUUGUACUUGACCCACCCUUUAAGACGCAAAACGAUUGAAGGUGUAUUUUUACCCUUAUAUCCUAAUAUUUAAGCAAUGAUUAUGGAGCAGAAGCCAAAAAUCAAUUUAUUUGAAAAAUUAGAUUUAUUAAACAAAAAUGACUAUGGAGUAGUACUAAAAGGGAGCAAGGAUCGUUUACAUUUAAAUGACUUUGGAAUUAAAUAAUUCUAUUUUUAAAAUUUUUAGAAAGUAUAAUGCUUAAUAGGGAUGAAAGUGAAAAAAGAAAUCUAAAAUAAUCUCAAUUUUAUAAACAUGAUAAGUAAUUUAAAAUAAAUAAAUAUAAAAAAUAGGCCAAAAAAUUUAAAAGAGAAAGAAUAUAAUAAUAUUAAUAUAAUAGAAAAAAUGCAUCUUAAGUUGUUAGUAAUUCAUCUGCAAUGAAACACCGUUAAAGUAGAUUUGGGUUGGUGGCCCAGAAAUUAAUGCACGUAGAAAAUUUCAAAGUCUUACUUAUCAACAGAGGCGGACGUAGAGUAGAAGCAAAAAUCCAUAUCUGUUAUUGUAAGACUUAAAAUUAUAUAGAGAAAUCGUUAAAAGUUAUAAAUAUUAAUAGGUAAGAACCAUAACUAAACCAAAGGAUAGCUUAGUGGCAAGAAAAGAGCCCUUAAAAAUCCACAAAUUCAAAAUUUUGAAUCCGCCUAUGCUUAUCAAUUGACUUAUCAAAGGCUCUUCCAUCUUGCUCUGCUGCCACAUCACUUAAUCUUCUCCAAAAAAAUAUUUUUCAUGAAAAAUAAUAUAAUUCCACCCAAUGACAAAUAUUAUUGGCAUAUAUAAGGUGUGUUCGUUAUGAUACUUUUUAAAAAAUAAUUUUUUAAAAUAAAACUAGAAAAAACAAAUUUUACUAACAAAACUUAUCUUCACCAACCCAUCCCCAUUCCCCAUCAAUCCAUAUUCCAUACCCCCACCGUCAUCUAGCACAUGGAUGGCACCACCUUCUUCUUAGGCGAAAGGUGGCUCAGUGCAUACUAUUUAUCAAAAAAUAAUGUGUUCUACUAAAAUUAAAGAUUAGUUAUUAUGAAUAUUUAUUUAAUUUUACAUAAUUAAAAAAGAUUUACACACACUUCAUUAAUAUAAUAUCCCUUGACUUACCUAUCGAACUCAAUAAAAUAAGUACCUACAUAUUUCUUUGAGAUCUAAUACAUCCAAUGUCAUAAUUCAUUCAAUAUUAAUAUAUAAUUAGAUAUAUAUUUUCGUAUUUAUUUUUAAAAAUUUGCCCAACUUGUAAGUUGUAGGACUACCUUAUCCUAAAAUAUCUAGAAGUAGUGGUGCAUACAUACUCUUUGAUAUAGUCAAUAUUUAGAGAAUUAAAUGACGAAUUCAAUGACUCUUUUAGUGUACGAUCAAGUUUAAAUAAGAGGGGACAAAUCUCUUCGAUUUGAUUAAAACUGGAGAAAAGUCUUCCAGAAAAGACCCAACAAUACAACAAUAAAAAUUCUUAUUUGUUUGGCCUAAUGCAUGGUAGAGUCAGAAUUUCUAGUAAAUGGAUUUUAAAAAUAAUUAACCAUGUUAAUAGGACUUUAAAAAUAAAUAGAUCAAAUUUGAUUUGAGUAAGUUAGACAAAGUUUCAACUUUACCUCAACAUGAAUAACAAAAUAUAGAAAGUUAAACUUUUUUAUUUUGAUCAUGCGGUCAAACAUACAAUCUUUAAAUUUUUUUUUAAAAUAAAUUACAUAUUUAGAAAUUACAUAAAAAGUAUAAUAAAUUACCAGAAUUGAAUUUUACGUUUAAGUUGUUUAUACAUUAACAUAAUAAACUAAUACUAAUUUUCUCUUAAUUUUAAGAAGAGAAGAUCUAAAAUAUUUUAAAUCAGUCAAAAUAGAUAAACAACAAACAAAAGUAUAAUUUUGUGAAAAAAAAAAAGUUAACCAUCAAAUUAAUAACCUGAAAAGUGAGAGAUAAGAGAAAUCAAAAGAGGGACAGAAUGUAAGAGAACAAGAAAGUAAUUAAGUAACUAGAAAUUUAAUCCCAAAGCUAAUAUAGAAGAUACAAAAAAAUGAUGUUAUUCAGACUCGAAUGCACGCUGAAUCAGAAAUUUUGCACCCUUCACCAUUGAACUAAGCUUUAGCCUUCUUUUCGAUGGUGGAAGGACCACGCUAGUCCUUUGAGUGUGUGGUGUGUAGUGGGUGCGUCUUAGUGUCUUCUUACUACGUGUCAAUGGGAUUCGGUGCUUAACAUAUAUACAAUAAAUCAAAAUUUUGAUUGUAUAUACACAGUGUAAUUUUUUGAAGAAGGGGGGUCGAUGAACCCCUGGACUCCAUGUAGAUCCGACAUUGCCUAAUAGAGUUUAUAUAUGUGUGUAUGUAUAUAUAUACACACACACUCAUAUACACACAUAUAUAUAUAUUGAUGGCAUAAAAUAUUCGUAUAUUAUUUAUUCAUCUUUAAAAUGUUUAUAAUUACUUUUUAGUAUUUAUGUUUUAGAGGAUGCACAGAAGACACAUAAAAUUUCAUAUUUUUAACACAAGUAUCUUAAUUCCUAAGUUGAUGAGGAAAAAAAAAAUGAGCAAGACAUAAGUCAACAGAGAUAUAUUUAGACUUAGAGGUCGUUUAAUAGAGUGUAUUAAAAUGUUAAUGCAUACAUUGGUUUAAUGUCUAUUAGUAGUACCUUGUUUGGUAUACCUUUUUAUCCUAUGUAUAACUAAUGCAAACAUUAGUUAUACACUCUAUUGUGUAUUAAGGUGUAUAUUACUAAUAACUCAAAAUUCAUGCAUUAACAUACUUAAAGACUCAAUUAUCCCUCAAAAAUUUUUUUGCAUCUUUUCCAACAUAUAUAUUGAGGGUAUUAUGUAAAAAAAAAAUUUUUUUUUAGAAAUUAUGUAAUUCAUGUUUUUUUAAUACAUCGAAGCAAACACUAUAUAAGAAAAAUAUAAAUAUAACUAAUACAAAUAUUAUUAAUACUAGCAUUACUAAUAUAUUAUAUUUUGUAUUAUUGUUAUACAUUUUACCAAACGAUCUCAUAGUGAUGGAGAGAGAAAUACUGUUUUGGAUCUUAUUGCUCCACGAUAUGAGAGAAUUUUCUAAAAGCUGACAUGAGCCACUAGUGCUUUUUUCUGCAUAAUACACAUAUAUUCUCACAUGCAAGUGUACAAGUAGGACCCAUAAGAGUGCAAGAGGAUUUAGCAUUCUUCAUACCAAACUUCUCAAGGAGCUCUUUGGUAUAUUUAUUUUGGCAAAGAAAGGUCCCCUCAGAUGACAGAUGUAUUUGCCAACUCAAAAUGAAUGUUGAUUUUUCUAUUAGAAUUUCCUUGCAUUAGAACAAAAUUUUUUUGCAUAAGACAAUAUUAUUACUUCCAAAGAUAACAUCAUAGAUCUGAAUAAUUAAGUUUUCAGAGGAAAUUCUUAUGAUAAAAGGAGUUGUAUUAAUUUCUUUUUUUAAAAAAAUAAAAUUGCGAUAAAGAAAUUGAUCUAUUUAUCAUAUCAAGCUCGAGAAGCUUGUUUUUAAAUCACAGAGAAUUUUUUGAAAGUUUAAAAACAUGAUUGGAAACCUAUGAUUUUCAAAACCUGAGGUUUUUACAAAAACUUAAUAAACCCAUUUAAAAACAUCCAUUUAAACAAGAUUUGAAUAGAUUCUAACCUUGUAACUGUUGCAAAAGUUUUAUCAUAAUUGUCUCCCUCUUGUUGUGAGUAGCCUUGAGCUAUUAGACAAACUUUUUUCUCCCAUAACUUUAUCUGAUUCAUUCAUCUCAUUUGGUUAUAAUGAUUAAGGCAUUCUCUAGUCCACACAUUAUUUUUAUCAAUUUGCUCGAGCUCUUUUUUCAUUGUUUUGACCCAAUAAUCAUCUUUUGAAGUCGCAUUCACUUUCAUUAGAUCAAGUUGAGAUAUGAAGGCAAUAUUUGCAUGUCUUUAACUGGAAUCUCUUAUAAGCCAUUAUUUUGAUCAUCUUAAUUAAGUGAUCGAUCAUGUUCACUUUGGAAUUGCUCCAAGUUCAAUUUGAUGCUUUAGAGGCAGCAGUUAAGCAGACAAUAAACUUAGUAGUAGAGUCAACAACAUUUCCCCCCUAUUAUUAUGAACAAAGCAUUUGUAUGAAAGUGCACAAUGUUGGGCCUUUGGUUGUUUCAAAUUUUGUAAAGAGUUUUCUUAAAUAAAUCUGCUGAGGCAUUUAUUGCUUUGCCAUUGGAGCUAUCUGUAAAACAUACUUCAAAAUCAUUUUCUUCUUCAAAUAAGCUUUGUACCCUGUGAAUUGAAUUUCCACUUUCAAGCUUCCAUUUCCUAUUAGCUUUUGAGUGGAGUUCCUGCAAAAUAAUUAUAUUACUUAUUUCUAUGUACCCAAGUGUUCUUAGGUAUCCCAUGGUUAGUUAAAUGUGUUGACUCAAUUUUGAGUCUCCAAAUUCAUUUGCUAGAAUUUCUAGAUCGAAAUCUGCAAUUAUAGUAUUUGUAAUUCGGUUUACCACGGUGAUAAUAAGAAGUAAGUAUUGUUCAGUGACUGCAUAAUAGGUAUUAUAAUUGUGAGUAGUUCUUUUAAUCGAUCGACUCGAGUUUAUUGACCGUUGAGAUCCUUCAUAGCUAUAGAAUCUACUAUUACAAGUUCCAGUGUCACAUUUGUCAGUUGACUGCGUCAACUGAAUUGAUCUGACAAUACUAUGACUUGUAGAUUUCGAAAGUCAUUAAUUUUAAUUUUUAAAUCAUCAACUUCUUAAUAUAAAUAAUUUUUUUCGAUUUCAUAAACUUCAAGUUUAAGUUUUCAGUCUCUUCUCUCUCUUAAUAAAGCCCUUUUUCUCAUCAUGGGCUUUAUUUCGAUCCGCGCUGGCAAGAUCUAACAGAUUUUACAGUUUAGAACAUUCAUUAUAGGAAUUGGUUCUUACCUAACUAGACUUUUCAAUUUUCAUGAAAUAACAGUCUCCAAUACUAUUGUUAUCAUGGUCGACUUGUUCUUUAUCAUCUUAGCCUUUUGAUUUUUUUUUUUUUCAUGGACUCUACAUGAAUAGAUUUCAAUUUGUUUCAUAUUUCUUUAGUUGUUUACAGGUGGAUAUUUUCUCACAUUCUUUUCCACUAAGAGCACAACGAAGCAAGUAGAUUGCCCUAACAUUUGUUUGCACAAUAUCCAAAUGUUCUUUUGUGUAGUCAAAUGUGACGGUCUUUUUUUCAAAUUUCUUUUCAUUAUUUUUCAAAAUCUGCCUUGGCCCAUUUUGAAUAACUAGUCAUGCUUUAUAAUUUGUUGAUUGAACGUAAGUGUUCAUUUUUGUGUUUCACUGACUAUAGUAUAGACUGUUAAGGAAGGUUGAUUGGCUUAUUGAAAGUCCCUCUUGAAAUAUGACUUCAGUAAUUUGAUAUUCUGCCAUGAAUCUGUAUUCAUUUUUUGUUAAGCAAAAACGGAGAUGUGAGACGAGGCUUUGAUAUCAAUUGAAAGUAGUAAGACGAGGAAAGGGGUGAAUUACUCUUGUUUUGACCAAACAAUCGACUUCAUUCAACAAUUAGUCGACUAUUGAUUGUAGUAAUAAAGUGUUCAGGAAAUAAGGAGCUGAAGAUAAAAUUAAACUAGAUAUUUGAUACUAAUUGAGACCUCUAAUUGGGUUUUACUUCAAUCUCCUUGGAUUGCAAGGGAUUCUACUAGUUCUUUAUGAAUAAAAUCAAAGUACAAGAUUGAGUCAAGUUUUUUGACUUUGACUCACCCUCUCUUCUUUUCUUUCAUACUUCGAUACAAUGUCUCAUCAAAUAUGUGUUUCUCUCCUCGAUCUCUUUUUAAGUACACAGUAAACGUUUAAGAGAAUACAUUGCUUGAGUAAAGUAGAGCAAAGAACUAGAAAAAAUUGAGACAAGUGUAUAUCUCUUUCUUAGUUUUUCAUUGCUUAAAUAGUACUGAUUAGACUACUACUAAUCAUUGAAAAAUAUGAGGCAACCCAAGAAUUUUUUUCCUUGAAAAUAAGAUAAAAAAAUCUUAUUUUCAAGAAUAGAAUGAAUCAUAUUAAUGAUUCCAAACUAUCCAUAAUAUUAUUUCAUAGAACUAGUCACACGCUUAAUGAAAUAUCAUGUUGUGGUACUUCUUUUCAUAGUGAUGCGGAUUUGUGAUUACCCUUGAAAGAGGAUACAUGUUUCUUUUCCCUUUUUAAAUUGAUUCUUUGAAAAAAAAAUUAUUUGCAGCCAAUUUUCCUUUUUAAUUGUAGUGAAGAAUAUUUGAUACUAUUUUCAGAGAUCGGGCUUUCUGAUUUGUAGCCACUUUUUCUUUUUAUUGUACCCAAGAAUCUUUGACAUCAAUAUACCUGCAGAGGAAGUCAUAUAUUAAAACAUCAGAUUAUCACAAAUCUCCGAUACCCAACAUAUUAUUUCUAUAAUAUGAAUUUUCUUCUUGGGUACAAAAUUUUAGAACAAAAAUGUCUGAACAGAUCGAGCAACAAUGAAAUUAGCUAUCCUCAUUGUUAAUUUAAAGCUAAAUUACUUGUAAUUAAUUAACAAACUUUUCAAUGAUUUAUUGCUAAUCCUUAGUCAAGUAAGAUUAACAAUAAUGCAUUAGCGAAGAAUCUUGUUAUUUUGCUAUAAAUUAAUUUGUCCAUCUUUAUUUUCUAGUAAUGAUAUUCUAAUUUUAAUGUUGUCCAAUUUGUAAUCAUUCCCCCUAAUUAUCUUCUCUAUCAAUCGACGAUAUUGUUGCAACUGAACAAUUGAAACCAUUAAAACUCAAUGAGACACCAAUAUAUGCUUGGACGGAUGAUCACCUUGUCUAUGUCCUAUUUACACUUCAAAGAAAUAUAAUUAAUCACCUUGGGUGUGUUUGGUACGAAGGAAAACAUUUUCCAGAAAAUGUUUUCCAAUUUUGUUGUGUUUCGUUGGCUUAUAUGUUUUGAAAAAUAUUUUUCAAACCAACUUAUUGUUCUUAAAUCUAAGGAAAAUGACUUCCUUCAAAGAGUAAGGAAAACAUUUUCCAAAACUCUCAUUCAAUCUCACUUUAAAGUUGAAAUAUUCGUACAAUUCUCAAAAUCAUCUAACUCGCCCCCUUGCCUCUCCCCCAAUACCCUAUCACCCCGACACUACCCCUACCCCCACCCCCAAAAUUUCAUUAUUUUAAAAAGUAUUUCAAAAUUUUUUCUUAAUCCAUCCCUUACCUCCACCCCACCCCUCUUCCAAAAAACAAUAUCUACAUUUUACUAAAAAAUUCAAACUUUUCUCUUAUCCCCCUUCCCUCCCCCCACCAGCCUCUCUCCCAUCCCUCCAUCCCAUAACCUAAAGAAAAAAAUUAAAUUUAUUUUUAAAAAAAUUUCAAUUUUUUUCCUCCCCCUUCCCCCUUCCCCCUCACUCCCCUAUCCUGACCCCUAGCUCCAGGGACGGACCCACGUGUAAUUUUGGAGUGCUUCGACACCCACUAAAUUCGACGUAGAUUAGGUAUAAUUAUAUAAAAAAUACAGAAUAAAUGGUAUAAUUUAUUAAAAAGCACCCAGAGAACAAACAUAUGGUUAGGUGUUCCCCCUCCCCCUCCCCCUAAAUUCAAUUUUUUUUCUUAUCCCGCCCCUACUACCUAUUCUGACACCCCCACCCACUCACCAACCAAUCCCCUUCCCAAAAAAAGAUUUAAUUUUUUUAUUUUUUAUUUAAAAAGGAUUCUAAAAUGUAUUUUUACGCUUUAUCUAAACACUAAUAUGUAUUUUUUGAAAAAUAUUUUUUCAUUCACCAACCAAAUAUUAGAAAUUCUCCAACCAAACAUGAAAAAUAAGUAAGAAAUUAACUUGUUUUCCAAGAAAAUAUUUUCUAGAAAAACAUUUUCAAUGGAAAACAUUUUCCUUCGUACCAAACACACCCAAGUCUAAGUCCAUUCUAUACUUCAAAGCAUAUAUACUAAUUGCUUCCUAUGACAUAGUAUGAGAUUUGUAAAGACCUGACACCUGGAUUUAAUUUAAUCCUAUGAACACACCCAAGUCUAAGUCCAUUCUAUACUUCAAAGCAUAUAUACUAAUUGCUUCCUAUGACAUAGUAUGAGAUUUGUAAAGACCUGACACCUGGAUUUAAUUUAAUCCCAAAAGUUAGAUAAUGUGAGAGGAUUGUCUAAAUUCAUAUAAGCAAACCUUCAAUCCAUUUUUCAUUUAACGUGGGACUUUUACUCACUCAAACAUUCUUUUCAUGCCUAGGGCCCAACUGACACGUAGAUUGGGAGACCAAACUAGGAUGAACUUCACUCUGAUACCAUAUAAAAAUAUGACACCUGCACCUAACUCAACCACAAAGCUAGCUCAUGGGAAGAGGAUUGUCCAAAUCCAUAUGUGUUGGGUUCGAAAUCGAGAGGGCGUCAUGCGGAAGCUAUUAGUUGCAAACUAUGAGACGAUAAAUAAGAUGACAACGAAAAACAAUACUAAAAACAUAAUUUUAUUAUAUGAUUUGGCCAAUUGGCCUACAUAUAAAACCUAAUAUUAAAAAAUAUAAAACUGAGAAAAUCUCCCCCUAAACGAAAAUCUUAAAAGACUACAUUGUGGAUGCUAUUAUUGUGUUAUGGUAUGAGAAGGGAUUUUCUAUUUAUAGAUAUCCAAAACCUUUCCUCCAAGAAAGAGGCUAGGCAAAUAUGGAAAAGAAUUAUAUUGUUUCCUUUCGAGAAAAGUAAAAGUAAUUAUGGUAACUUUUAUUUUCCUUCUAAGAAAAAGUAAAACUUAAAUAUAGUAAGAAAAUCAGGGCAAAAACCCUAACAAGACUUUCACCCACUUAAUUAACAAGAUUGAUGUAACGACAGUUAUGAUUUAUUUACAAAUUUGUUCUAGAAAUUCAUACGUAUUAGAAUUUAUUCCAGAAAUAUCCCUCGGCAAUAAUAAUAACAUACUUAGAACAUUCCCCCUCACGUGCUGACUUAUUUUUUUGGUCAUGGGUCAAGCACAUGAAAAUUCUUUUUAAUAAUGGGUGGCAGUGAGAUUCGAUUCCAGGACCUCUGCCUGCUCUAAUACCAUGUUGAAGUUUGUAACCAUCUAAUUUAAAAGUUUAAGUUGUUAGAGAGAGCACACUUUUAUUAUUUAAUUAUAUUCUCACCAGAGAAAUUGUUUUUGAAGGACCCUUGGCUCAAGGAUACCAACUCCAAGUAAAAAAAAAAAAUAAUGAGUAAAAAACAUAUCGAUUAAUAAGUAAAGCAAUGCAAAGCCUGCCAAAAAACGAACAAUAACAACAACAUAAUGAAAAGAAAUAUUUAAUAAGUUAAAGAUGAUAUAAUAAAUACUUUAAAAUAAGAUGAAAAUGAAAAGUAAACUUUACGAAAACAUUUUUUUUUUCAACACAAUAUAAUAUAUAUCAUACAACAGAACAUUACAUGACCAUGACCAACCAUCCAUAGGAACUAUUGAAUGGCUUUAUUCAUACAAGCAAAAGUUCUAAAGUUGCAAGAUUUUUAGGGUUUUGCCACUUAUAUUACAAAGGAUUACAUUAAUAAUACAUAAUUAAGCACUAAUUAAUUAGUUCUGAGGCUCAGAUUCAGUGGCUAUUCCCAAGGCCAUAUAUUCCUCAUAGGUGCAGCAAUGGUGAUAUUUGCAUUUAUGGUAACAUCCUUUAUGUUUAUAUCCUCCACCCUUAUAAUAAUGGUCACCUCCAACACCAUCAACGUCUACUUCCUUCGCUGCUGCAUCGAUGAAUUGAGAAUAUUAAAACUUAUGCAUAUCUAUUGAUGACUGAUCUUUGAAUUGAAAUUUCUAUUUAUGUGUUGUACUUUUCAUUUAAUUUUGUUAUAGUUUUAAGAUAAUUUCUAUCAUGACUAUAUAUAUAUGUAAAUAAAUUUUUUGUUUCAAUCUGAUAUGUUUAAGAUCACAAGAUUCAAAGGAUAUUUUAGUAUGUUCUACACACUUUUAGUUUAGUUUGGAUUGAAAAGUUUAUGCUAUAUUCUUCAAAUUCAUGCAUAGUGACUGAGACAUAUAAAAUGAAGCAUAAGGAAGGUAAAUUAAGUGUCAUGAUCAAGCUAGUGUUAGUAAAACAUUAGGUUAUCAUCUAACAUUCAUAAAACCUUACAAAUUUUAGUUCAUGGUCUAAUUUUAUAUGCUGGACGUAUCUUUACUAUGUCACUUUUUUUAUUUAAAUUCAAUUACCCAGAUAUUCGAGGCAAAGAGCGAUGAAAACACAAAGUAAUGCGUAAAGAUAUGCUAAUAUAACACAGUAACAUCAAUUGUUUCUUGUUUUUUUUUUUUUUUCAAUGAAUUCAACUACAUAAAGAGAAAAUGAAAGAUGAUACUUACAGUUGGGAGUCUCAGAUUCAGUGGCUUUUCCCAUGGCCACAUAUUCUUCAUAGGUGCAGCAUUUAUGAUAUUUGCAUUUAUGGUAACAUCCUUUAUGAUAGCCACCCUUUUUAUAGCCACCUUUGCCACCAUAGUAAUGGUCAAGAUCUACUUCUUUCUCCGCUGCAUCGAUGAAUUGAGAAUAGUAAAUCUAAUGCAUAUGCACUGACUGAUCGUUGAAGUGAAAUUUCUCUUAUUAUAAAUUAUGGCUGUCAAGUGGGCCGGGCCAACCUGGCCCUACUCGGCCCACUUAAAUAAAUCAGCCCAGUAAGCCCUAUGGCUUUAGGGUUUCAGGUCCCGGGCCGGUUAUUUUUUUAAUUUGGGCCUGGUUAACCCGACUCGGACCUAGCUCGGUCCAGGCCCGUCGGUUAACCGACCCCGCCCAGCCCGGAGUCUUUUUAUUUUUUUAAAUAAUUAUUUUUUUGUAUAAAUUAGUAUAUAACUAUACAAAUAUAUAUUCUAAUGUGUGUGUGUGUAUAUAUAUAUAUAUAUUAUAAUAUAUUUCAUUUAAUGUAUUACAUAUACAUAGAGUAGAGUGUAUAUAUGUGAAUAGAUCUUCUAUAGAAGUGUAUAUUUAACGUAUACAUGUUUAUAUAUUUUAUAAAUUAGUGUAUAACUAUACAAAUAUAUAUUGUAAUGUAUAUAUAUUGUAGUAUAUCUCAUUUAAAGUAUUACAUAUACAUAGAAUAGAGUGUAUAUAUGUGAAUAGAUCUUCUAUAGACGUAUAUAUUUAACGUAUACAUGUGUAUAUAUAUAUAAUUAUAUAUGUAUAUAUUGUAGUAUAUUUUAUUUAAACUUUAAAGUUUAAAGUAGUACAUAUAUAUUUGGAUGGUGCGUAUAUAUGUGUAAUUGUGUAUAUGUGUAUAUAUUUUUUAAAUUUUAAUGUAGUAUAUACUAUAUAUAUAGUGUAUAUAUAUUGUUUAACGUAUUUGUAAUGUAUAUAGGUGGGUAUAUAUAAUGUAUAUUGAAAUUUUUUUAUUUUUGACCGGGUUUGAUCGAUUUUUUAAUCGGGUUUGACAGGGUUUAGGUGGGUUUGACCGGGUUGGGUUAAGUGGGUCCGGUUAGGGUGGUUUUUGAUUUUUUUACUGUUGGGCCCAGCCCAGACUGGCCCACUUAGACCCCAACCCGGAACGGCCCUCAACCCGGUUAAAUAACAUGGGCCGGUUCCGGGUUGGCCUGACCCGGCCCACUUGACAGCCAUACUAUAAAUAUAUUCAUAUAAAUUUUUAGUUUCAAUCUGGCAUGUUUAAGUUCACAUGAUUCAAAGGAUAUUUUAGCACGUUUUACACACUUUUAGUUUAUAUUCUUCAAAUUCAUGCAUAGUGACUGAGACGUAUAAAAUGAAGCAUAAGGAAGGUAAACUAAAUGUCAUGAUCAAGCUAGUGUUAGUAAAACAUUAGGUUAUCGUCUAACGUUCAUAAAAUCUUACAAAUUUUAGUUCAUGGUCUAAUUUUAUAUGCUGGGCGUAUUUUUAAUAUGUCACUUUUUUUUUUUAUUUAAAGUCAAUUACCCACAGAUUCUAGAGAAAAAGCAAUAAAAAUGCAUAAAGUAAAGCAUAAAGACAUGCUAAUACGCCUAACAUAGUAAAAUAAGUAAUGCCUAAAGAUAUGCUAAUAUGCCUUUCUUUUUUUUUUUUUCUUCGAAUGAAUUCAAUUACAUAAAAAGAUAAAUGAAAGAUAAUACUUACAGUUGGGAGUCUCACUCAACUCCCUAGCUAUUACUUCGGAGCUUAUCAUUAAGAAAAUAGCCAAAAAUAGGCCAAGCAAUAGAAAUGUUUUGGAACCCAUUCUUUUGUUUUUUUCAAAGCUUAGUACUUAUGAUAAUUGAAAAUUGAGGGAUGAAGAAACUGAUACAUUCUUGGGCUCUAUUUAUAGGAAGAUUUAUAUGCAUAAAUAAUUGAAGAGAGGUGUAAAACUAGGAGGUGGGAGGGACAUGUAUUGGGAUGCAAUUAUUGUUGUGGACCAAAGAAACUUAACAACUUGGGUCUACAAGUGAGAGUUAAAGUCUUAAAGAGAAUGCUAGAUUUAACUUAUUCCGUAAUUUUUAAAUAACAGCACUAACAAGUUUAGUUAUUAUGGUAGUGAAGUUGUAACAAUACUAUUUUAAUGAAAUAUUUAAGUUUAUGCUUUGCAUGUGAAGCCUCAUUUGUUAGGCAUUGUUUUAUUCUAUGAAACUUUUUGGCCUGCAUCAAAUUUAAUUUAAAUCUAAUACCAAUAUAUUAUACGCGAAAACUAGACAUCGAGUGGAAAAUAAAAUAAAAUGAAAAAGCAAGUCAUCCAAGCAAAAUGUAGAUGUUGCAAGUAUUUACAAUGUUCCAACAACAAAAAAAAUGAACCUAACGAAUAUUUUGCUGAAUAUUUUGGCAAUUGGAAUGUUGUUCGAUCUCGUGACAGAUUCAGAAUUAUGCCGAAUCCUUUUAUAGCCAAGUAUAUAUUAUGACUUAAUAAAAGUGCAUUUUGUAUGAAGAAAGAUGUUUUUCCAUGAAAUACAUUUUCUUAGAAAAUGUUUGCUUGAAAUAUAAGUGAUUUAUUUUAGGUUAGUUUUUGAUAAAUAAGUGAAGAAUGUUAUAAUCUCAAAAAUAUUUAAAUUUAAUUUCACGAUAAAAUGGGUUGGAGAAUGGGGGCGGAAGGGCUAAAAUACUCAAAAGAUAAAGGGUUGUGGAUGUUGGAAAUCUUCCUUUUGAAAUAAUCGAUCAGUUUUUUUUUUUUCAUUUUCCUAAAUUUCUUAUCUUGUUUUAAAUUAUAUUUUUCGUUCAUUUUUAUUUGUUAAUUGUUAUAGUUCAUUUUAUGAAAGUCAAUCAAAUGAAUUUCAAAGUUAAAUUAAAGUAGAUUAAUUUAUUAUUUUAAAUUAAAUUUAGAUAUUUAAAAAUUAUAUAAAAAUAUAAGUUACUAUAUAAUCCUUCUCAUUAGUAUUAUAUAUAAGAGACAAAUCAAGGAAUUUGGUAGUUCCCACAAAAAUUUUCAAUUAAAUUUCAAUCUUUUCAAUUAAUUACUUUUUUGUCAUGAUCUUAUCUUUGAAAUCAAAUUUACUUUUUGUCUUUAGAGUUUACUUUUAGAAGUUCUUUUACCUGAUCAUUUUGAACGUGUUUUUUAUUUUUCAAUUCUUUAUUUUCUGAAUUUAUAGACAUUCAUUGACAUGAAUUACUAUUCAGAAGCCAUGUUUAAUUCUUUAUGCAUAAAGUGGAUCAUCAUUUUUCUUUUAGAAAAAACCUGACUUAGUAAACAUAAACACCUAAUUAAUUUAUUCAGACUAAGUUUUAAUUAAUUAUAAUUCAUAGUCUAAUUUAACUGUACUGCAUCCUCUCCCUUGCUAAUACUCUCCUUCCAUCUCUCCCAAUCUCGUUGUAUAUCACUAUAUUUGUAUCAAUUAUAUUCGUUUCUUAUAAUCAGCUACAUAUGAUUGUAUUUUUAUAUUUUCUUGAAUUUAUAUUUAUAUGGUCCUAUAUUAUAUAUAGUUUAAUCACAACAUUUGUAUAUAAUAAAAUCAAAGUAUCAGAUUUUUGUUCAUUUUAUAUUUGCUAAUACAAAUACGAUGGAUGACAGUUUAUAUAAAUACAAUAGCUACACCGGCUACGACUUGUAAUUUUUUAAACCAUAGUUAUGCAUGCCUAAUUUUUCCUAUAUAUAUGCUGUUUUGAAAGUUUUCCUUUUUAAAAAAAAUAAAUUCUAUACGAACUUUUGUGAUUGAUUUAUAUAAUAACUGUUUAUGAAUCUCUUUAUACUCUUUAUUGAAUUAUUUUUUAAUUCUUCAUCUCAAAAUAUUUAAUAUUAUUUUUCACUUUUUGAGGAUCAACUUACAUAAAUUUUUAUCAAUAUUUUGAAAUUAUUUUCACUAUAUUAAUGGGAGAAUUGAUAUUUAUAAUACUUUUCAUAUAAUUUUUUAAUAUUUAAAUUUUAAUUUAAAAUAUUAUUUAAUCUAACUCAAUUUAACUUUAAAGAUUAUGCAAAUAUCUUUCAAAAAAACAUGCGGUGAGAUGAAAAAAGUAUAUUAUUUAAUCUUCAUCGAGUUGUAAAUAUUUUACAUGCUUCAAAGUUUAAAUCAUAUUAUUUUAUAAAAUAUUAAAUUACUUGUAUGUCGUUUUAGGAUAAUCCUUUCCCAUUGUUGAACUACCACAUGAAAAAAACUCAUCAAAUUAAGAAGAGUAUAUUAAGAAUCCAUUUACAAUUAAUCUUUUACCCCAAAAGCCAUAUGUUUCCUCAACUAUUAUAUAUACUUCCCCAAGGAAUUUUUCGCAAACAAUACUCCUAACUCACACCCCAAAAGCUAGCUCAUGAAAAAGAGGAUUGCUCAGCUCAAACCUAAUAAGGAGAGCAAGGACCUAUAAUCCCACCGAUGUGGGAUACCAACACACCCUCGGCACGCCCAAGAUUGGACAACUGGAAAAUAGACAAUAUAAAAUGGAGGGUCCAACAUUGGAAACAAAUGAAUUGGGUGGGCCUGGCUCUAAUACCAUGUUAAAAUUAGUCUUGAACCAAACUCACACCCUAAAAGCUAACUCAUGAGGAGAAGAAUUGCCUAUGCCUUAUAAGGUGGCCAAGAACGUUAUAACCCGCCGAUGUGGGACACCACCAAUAAUAAAUAUGUUGAUGUUGUUGUUAGUAGGUUUAAGUAUACUUAAGAGGGAGAGUGUAAAUCAUGAUCAAUUUUUUUUAUUAGAAAGAUCUCAUUACUUAUUUUAAGUGUCAUUAGCGUAAGGGGGAUUAAUUAAUUAAUAUGGUUUAAUUACGUCUCGACUUGUAAAACAAGAAAAAGACUUGUAUGAAACUGAAAAUUUUAAAUAUAUGUGUACAUGAAUUUCUUGUGUCAAAUAAAAUGUAUACUCCCUACGUCCCAAAUUAGCAGCUCCAAAUUGAGAUGACACAUUGAUUAAGAAAAAUAAUUAAUAAAAUGGCUAGUUUACUAUAAUACCCCUAUUAAAUGAUAUUUACAUUUUAAUUUGAAAAAAAAUAAUUACUGCAAAAGGUAAAAUAAGAAAAAAAUUUCUGUUAUUUCUUGAUUAAUGAAAAAAAAAGUAAAAUGAGAAAUUAAAUUAGAAAAUUUGAGACGGAGAAAGUAUUUUAUAUGCAUGAAUUUGUAGUGAGAGGCGCAUUUCUUCUACUAGUAUUAAUAUAAAAACAAAUACUCCUCCUGUUUCAUAUUAUUUGGCUCCUAUGAAUUUGACCCUCUCAUUAAGAAAAUAUUAAUUAAGAGGUUUAUUUUAUCAAAUUAGCUUUACUAAUUAUAUUUUGAAAAUAUAAAUUUGAGUAAAUACACUUUAUUUAGUCAUUUAAUGUUAAGGGUAGUAUUGGAAGAACAUAAUAAAAUUCUUUUGAUUUCAUCAAAGAAACAACUAAAUUAAAAUAAAUAUUUUUUAAAAAAAGGCCAACUAAAAUGAAACGGAAAAAUUAAUAGUAGGAUAUCUUAAAUUAUUAAUCAAACUUUAUUUAAUCCGUAAUCAAACACCGUCAAAAUAGAUUUCAAACCACGUGCAUGGGUUGGUGGCCCAGAAAUUAAUGCAUGUAGAAAAUGUCAAACGGUCACUUAUCAGUUUACUUAUCCAAGACUCUUCCAACUUGCCCUGCUGCCACGCAAAAGAAAAAAAUCAUUAAAAAUAUUAUCCUUCUUACCAAACAGAAAUUGUGGGGAUAUUGAGAAAAAAUGAGUUUUCUAAUAAAAAUAGAAAAUAGAUUGUAUAAAUAGAUUUUCAUAGUACAUAGCUUCUUUUAGUGGCGGAUCCAUGAAAAUCACACUUCAAACCAUUGCAUCUAAUCAUGUGUUUGUUCAUUAGGUGUAUUUUAAUAUUUUAUAUCAUUUAUUCUAUAUUUUUUAUAUAAUUACAUCUAAUCUACGUCUAGUUUAGUGAGCAUUGAAGUAUUCGAAAAAUACACAUGGAUCCGCCCCUGACUUCUUUUCACCUUUUGACAGACCUCAUCUUCACUCUCCGAACUUAACUCCAACCCCCCGCCACCCCCUUUCUCACCAAUCCAUACACUUACCGCACCCACUCCCUCAUCUCACUUAUGGACGAAGCCACCUUAGACAAAGAACAGUUUGGUACACACUAUAUAUUCAUCAAAAAUUUAUUAUGUUCAUAUUCUAAUGAGGUUAAAUGUUAAUUAUUAUGAAUGUACAAUUAAAAAAAACUUUAUAUACUCUUCAUCAAUAUAAUAUUUUCAAUUAUAUAUUGAGUUAAAAAAAAUAAGUGUGCGUAUAUUUCUUUCGGAUCCAAUACACCCAAUAUCAUAUACAAUCAAUGUUGAUAUAUAAUUAGAUAUGAAAAAAAAUACAAGUAGCAUAUUUAAGUAUUAAAUUAUAAAAAAUAGUAAUACUUUUAUUAAAUUAUAUUUUGUAGCAUAUUUAUUUAUAUUUUUGUAGCAAUAAUUUGCAAAAAUACAAAAUAUAUAUCGAUUAUAAGGGCAGUAAAAAUCACAUAUAUUUGUAUUUUUGUAGCAACAGUUUGCAAAAAUAUAAAAUACAACUUGAUAUAUUAUGUAAUUAUGAAACUAUUGCUAUGAAACUCAAAAUUAAGGGGAUAAGUAUGCUAUUUCUGAAUUUUUCCCAUUAGAUAUUGUACAUAUACUAAUAAGAAGGACAUGAACUAGCCAUUUUAAAAAAAAAUGGCCCAUGGUUUAAAAAUGUGGACAAUUGCAGCUGGUCGGUCCAAUUUAAUUUUCUUUUUUAGUCAUUUGGCCCAAUUGGGCACAUGCAGUCUCUAUACUCAAUUGAUACACUUUUAUACCACAUUGAGAUACUUUUAUACUAUAUUGAUACACUUUUUUAAAAAGAGAAAGGAAAUUCUAUGCAAGCACCUGCAGUCCCUAUACCCAAUUGAUACUCUUUUAUACCACAUUAAUAUACUUUUAUACUAAAUUGAUACACUUGCAGUGUCCAUAUACUCAAAUUGAUACUCUCUUAUACUAGAUUGAUACAUUUUUAGAAUGCAUGUCGAAACUAUCUAGAGAGAGUCGUAUAAAAUAUGUAUCUAAAUAAUAACUGUAGUUAAAAAUUGUAUAGAAUGUGUAUAAAAAUGCUAUAAUUAAUGUAUAGAAUAUGUAUAUAUAUAGAAACUGUAUCAUUAUUAUAUAUAAAUAUAUAUCUUUAACAAUUGUAUUAUAUUAAAAGUAUAUGGUAUUGUAUUUUAUUGUAUAAAUAAGUAAAACUAAACAAAACAAAUAGUAUAUUAUUUUAAUAAUGUUGGUGAAUGCAAACUAAUAUAAAAAAAAUUGUUUAAAAAGAAUAAAAAAGAGUAGAAUAAGAAAAGGAGCCAAAAAAAGCAUCAACAAAAAUUUUAAAAAAAGAAAAGAAAAGAAAAAGGAAGGUAAGAACUUGACCUAGAAAAAUUAAACCAGUGAAUAUCUAAACAUUGUCCACCAAAAGAAGGUUAGAAAUUGGGGUAUCUAUUUCUAAACCAUUCGGUUGGAAUUACUUUCCACCGAGUGGUUAUUUAUCGGAUUUUAAAAUUUAGGUGUUAAUUUUAUGAAAUUAUUUUAGUUUUAGGUGUUAUUUUUGUCCUUUUUCUUCUUUUUUUUAAAGAAAAAUUAGCCCAACUAAAAUUUACAUAUAUACACUAAAUAAAAUUGCUUUAUUACAUAAUAUACCAAUUUGGUAAAGUAUUUACACAUAUCCCAAAAUAUUUACAUAAAUUCCUUUAUUUUCAACUUUCUCUUUCUUAAACAUUAUACAUCUCUCAACAGAUUUUCUCUUCCGUAUUUUACUCCUCCAUAUCCUCCCACAACACCCGAUUUUUACUCCAUAAUUGAACCCCCUUAUUCUCGGCAAAAUUGAAGAAUCGUGUAUCUAGGGGUUUCAACUAGUAAGUUAGAAGAUUUUUCUUUUCUUUUUUUAACUUUUUCAAUUUUUGAAGUUGAUCGUAUAUUGGGAUUGUUGCAUGUUUGUUUUACCUUACUUUGCAAGUAUUUUCAAGUUUCGUAGUUCGAUUUUUAUGUUUUCUUCAUAUAAUACUCUUGGUUUGUAGCUUUUUUUUUUUUUUUUUAAAUUUACCUAUUUUUGUAUUUUUCAAUUUAUUUUAUGAAUGUAUGUUUGUUUAUAAGGAUUUACCACAUUUUUGCAAGUAUUUUUAAGUUUUGUAGUUGAUUCGGAUCGAAUGUAUUACUGAAAAAAAUUGGUAAUAGAUUCUUGUCCUAACUUUAGUUUAGGACUUAGUCAGUUAGAUUCUAAAAAACAAGAUAUACCCGUUGGGUUUGUUCCUGGUACAUUUGAUUUAGAAGAACCCAAUUUCACAGAGAAUCGUUCAAAGCAUCGAAACGAUCCGACAACAAUGAAGAGAUUGAAGGAAACGACCACUUCCAUAUCAAAGAAAUCAAGUUCAAAAACGGCCAGUAAGAAGAAGUUUGAUGAUUCCCGUAGACCACGUCUUUCGAAGAUAUUGAUUAAACAUUGUACUUUACUUACGUUGCAACAUUAUUGUCUAAUAUAGUGGAACAUAGAAUUUUGUGCAACACUAAUGUAUAAUAUUACUAAUAUGUUAUACAUUUCAUUUUUUUUAUACAUUGAAUAUUCUUAUUACAUAUUAGAAGCAUUUGGAACUGGGUGUGUUAUUAUACAUUUAUGAAGUCUUCCUUUUGUAUAAGGUUUUAUUAUACAGUCUGACAACAUUGUAUGUCAUAUAUGUUUAAGGUGAAAUGUUUAGUCUGACAUUAUAUAUUGCAUAUAUUUGAUUACUAAUGUAUAAUUUUAUUACAUAAAUUUUAUUAUACAUUGCUUUUCAUACUAUAUUAUACAUAACAAGUAUUGUAUGGUUUAGUUGAUAUUAUACAUUUAGGGAGUUAUACAUUUCAUUUUUUUAUACAUUGGAUGUUCUUAUUACAUAUAAGAAGCAUUUGGAACUGAGUGUGUUAUUAUACAUUUAUGAAGUCUUCCUUUUGUAUAAUGUUUUAUCAUACAUUCUGACAUUUAGGGAGUUUUCAUACUGUAUAAAGUGACAUUAUACAUCUGAAUAGCUGAUAUGUCAUACAUUUUUGUAAGGUGAACUAGUUUAGUACGCAACAGUAUACAUUAUUGCAUCUCAAACAUUUGUAACUUUUUGUGUAAUUAUUGUAUUAUUUUAUUAUUUUAGGGCAUGAAAUACCGUAUAAAUAAAGUCCCGGAGCACCCUUUGCAUAUUUUGAGCUCAUGCAAUCGUGAUUUUGCUGAAGACAUAAAGUCUUAUUUUGGAGAUGAUAUUUUUAGGACAUUUAGAAAUACGUUAUUUGGGAUUUGCUUGACCUUCCGUAGUGCAAUUGGAUUAGGUAGAUUUCAAAAUGUAUCCUUAUGCUAGAAAUCCAAUAAUAUAUUAAGGACGAGAUACAUGUGUGUGUGCAGGGGAAGAUUUUAAAAUUUAUCAUGAAUUUGUCAUUAUCAGCGGCCUGACUGCACCGAUGAUAUUGAUGAGUUUAUGUAUACUUCAUCAUCAAAAUCCCCUUUGAUUUUAAAGUAUUUUUCUAAAUCUGGAGGUGAUAUAACUAGGUCAAAACUGAUAACACGUGUGAAGAUAGGAAAUUUCAAGAACUCUGAAUAUGCUUUGAACUUUGCGAUAUUAUAGUUUGUUCAUACAUUCAUGUUAUCUCAGCAUAAAGAAGCACCAAUUAGUGUAGCUCACUUUCAAAUGAACGAGGAUGGUCGGUACAUACACUUUUCAUGGGGAAAGAUAAUUUUUAAAAAGUUGAUCAACUCAUGGCGGCAAGAGUUUAGAGUCGUAAAGCAGUUAUAUUCUUUGGGUGGAAUGCCCCACGCUCUAAAUGGCUGGAUAUUUGAGUGUUGCUCUUCAGUUGAUAAAAAAAUUGCUUUGCGACAUGAAAACAUCAUCCCAAGAACACUUAACUGGUCUAUGGAGUGUACAAGGUCUAAGUAUAAAUCUUAAGUAAGGUAAUUAUAUAACAUAUUAAAUAUUUUUAUUUUAUACUCAACUUAUCGAAGUUUUAAUAUUUCAUUUUAAAAAUAAUUUUUGCAGUGUUCUUUCAAGAAUUUACAACCUACAAGUGAAGAAGUUCGUACUUUAGAUUUGUCUUUCUCUGAGGAUUUUGUGAUUUUUGAUCCAAUAUCUGCUGCUUCCACUUCUGUUGCUGCAACAAUGCAAACAUCAGGCGAUGAAGAUCAAUCGCGUGUUGUCACUGCAGAUGACGAUUAUGAUGAUUUCCCCACUGGACCUACUCAGGAAUUUCUAUAAAAGGCUCAUUUGGCUACACCUUUAUCAACUAAACAGCCAUCCAAAAGAAGUAAAACAGUUAUGUUUCAGGAAGUUAGUUCAGCUGUGACAAAUGCACAAAAAUCAACAAGUUCUCAUUCAGUACGUCACGUGUCUGGUAUGUUUUCUAAAAUACAAUAACAAUUAAUAGAUAAGCUACAAAUUCGUGUGUCUGAUUUUGAUCAUCGUCAUCAAGUAGAAAUUGGUGUGUCUCCUGAGUGCAAACAAAUCAAGUCUGUUCCUUCAUCUUCCACAACGCCUGAAGGAACUUCUAAGUCUAAUUUAGAUAUGGAGCAGAUAAAGAGUUACAUCAAAAUAUAUGUAAGUUAAUUUUCUCAUUCACAAAUUAUUAUUUUUGAAAAGUAUUACUUGUUUCUAAUAUCUUAUUGUUUAUCUGUACGUUAUAAGGUUGAUAAGCAAAUUGCUGAGCUGAAAACACUAAUCUCCAAUAUACCUGCUGAGGUCGUUAAAGCAUUGAAGAAAGAAGAGAAUAAAGAAUCUCCGGUAUAAAAUAAUUUUCCUUCAAAUUUUUAAUACUUUGAAUAAAUACUCAUACAUUAGAAUUAUUCAUGAUAUAUAGGAGGAGAAAAUUGUUCAUCAACGAGAAGGUGUACAGGGAGGCUAAAAAAUAAAUGACAGUAUUAAUAAGAAUGAGUUGCGGGCAAUUUUAAUCUACAUUACAUUGUCAUGUUACUAUUAAUCUGUAUAACUCCAACAUCUUAACCUUUUUUUGUUUGGUUCUUAUACAGCAUGAAGAUGAGUACACCAGACCAGUCAUUCACAUAACAAAUGAUGAACCAUCAGUAAUUGAAACUUUGGAAACAGAUCCAAGAUUGUGUCCACAUUCAUACUGAAUGUCCAACAAUAACUGAGGUUCAAUUCAAACAGAAAGUAUAUAUAUGAUAUGUAUAAAUAUGGUUAUACAUUCACAACCAUGCAUAAUAGUUAUCAAAUUAUAAAAAAAAUAUUUUCAUUCAUCAAUAUAUAAAUUGAAUUAAAUGUAUAGACAUCCUAUUGUCAAUUUUUUGUAGGAUGAGCACAUGAAUGAUAAAGAAGAGGGACAUGAAGAAGAAUCGCAAAACACUCACAGUAAUAAUAUGAAAGAUAUAUCGAUACAUUUUUGUCUCUCAUGUUGGUUUGUUCUUAGAUGAGAUGAAUCUCAAUAUUUUAAAACGCUUUACUUGUAGGCUGUUACAGUAUUAUUAUGCAUACAUUUGAAUGUAUAAUGAUAUGUUAUACAUUAUUAAUACUGAUAGUCUAUUUGAGAAAAUGAAUGUUCUUUAUGAAUAUCCUCAUACAUAUCUAUGUUACUUACAAUUAUUUAUGUAUGAACAUUGCUCAAUAACAACUCAAACAAAGUGUGAAUACAUUCAUACGCACUCCUUACAGACACCAUCUGCAAAUCAGUAUUAUAAUAUUUUUCCCUUUCCAACUAGUGGUUACUUUGAUUAAAUGUUCAUACCUUCUAAUUAUCACUUAAUUUAGGUUGACCUUAUCCCUGAUAAAGAGCAAGCUGGUCUUGAAGAUUUGGUGAAAGAACAUGGUCCUGUGAUGGUAUCUUUGUUGUUAUUUUUUCAAAACUCUUGCUGGUUUAAUUUACAUCGUAAUACUAUCUUAUUUUGAGACUAUUUUAGUUUCAUUAUACAUUCAUUUGAAUGUAUAACAUUAUGUUAUAAAUAAAAUCAGCACAUCACAAAUACAUAUGCAUUUGUUAUACAUUUCAAUUUCGAAUCAUCAGUAUAUAUUUUUUUAAUUAAACUACGUAUCACUUUGAAUAAGCUUUCAUACAUAAUAAUUGUUAAUGAAUGUAGGAUGAGCAUAAUGCUGCAGAAGAAGCAGGUUGUAUUGAAGAAUUGAAUAUACAACAUAGCCCUGAUAUGAAAUAUUUAGAGGUACUUUUUUGGUUGUUCAUAUUAUUUUUUAACUCAAAACUUACAUGCUUAUACAUUCACACCCAUGCCUAAUACAUAUCAAAUUAUAUAAAAAACUUUUCAUUCACAAUUUUAUGACUUUUCAAAUCACCAUUACAAUUUUUUUUCACUGAACUAUGUCUUACUUUGAAUAAAUGUUCCGACAUUCUACUUAACUCUUAAUUUAGGAUGAGCUUAUGCUCGAUAAAGAGGAAACUAGUGUCGAAGAUUUGGGAAAAGAGCACAGUCAUGUGAUGAUACAUUUCUUGUUAUUUUCUGUUUUACUCCUGCUGAUUUAACACUUCAAAUCUAAAUGCAUAGACUUACGACACAUUACUAUUAAAAAAGGAUCAUAAUAUUCCUAUAUGCAUAUCUAAAAUUUUCAAUUUUCAUUCUACAAUGAUUUAUUUUUGUUUUGUUACUUCGUAUUAUGUACUUCUAUUAUUGGUCUUUAUUAAUUAUAGCUCAUAAUGAAUAUUUAACAGUAUAUGAACUGAUUCUACCUAAGUAUAGUGGAUUAUGUAUAAUGUACAUUGCAAUACUAUCCUAAUUUGGGAAUGUUCCAGCUUCAUUAUACUUUCAUUUAAAUGUAUAACAGUAUGCUAUACAAUCAUACAGAGUAUUAUACAUUCAUAUUCAAUUUUUACAUAUACAGAUUUCAAAUCACCUUAACAUAUUUAUUUUCUUACAUAAUGAUUUUAUUUAAAAUAGUAUGAUCAUAUUGUCGCAAAAGAAUCACGUUGUGCUGAAGAAUUGAACAAACAUCAUAGUACUAAUGUGAAGGGUUUGUAAAUAUUUUUUUGAUAGUUCAUAUGUUGUUUUUUAACUCAAAAACUAUCUACAUAAAUGUAGCUUCUGUUUAGGUAUAAUUAACGUCAUACAUUAAUAUGUUUGCUUUUACACAUAACACAUCAAUAUUUUUUCUGUAGGAUGAUGUCAAUGCCACAAUAAUGGAGUCUGUUCAAGAUGCUUUAGAUGUACUAUUAUUUGAGUUGUCAAUACCAUCAAAUACAAAUAAAUUCAAUGUUGUUACACCAAAUAUAGUGACAAAAAAUGACCACUUUCAGAUAGUCAGUUUCCACCUGAUUUUUCGGAUGCUCAAGUAAGGGAGCUUAAAGCACCAAAACACGUGAAGUCAAAAAAUCACCUGUAAAAAGAGAUCGAAAAAAGUCGAAGAUUUUUAGGUCACCAUACAUCAUAAAAUUUGGAUCGAGCUCUAAAGAUAAGGGCAGUUCUGCUAAUGAAGAGAAGCAAAUGUAUGCUUUUGAUAGUUGUACCAUUUACGAAGAUUUGUCUAAUCAAUUGAUUAGUGAUUAUUCAUAGUGACUUGAAAUUGGGUUACUCAAAUAUCAUGUUUCCAAGUAAGUUAUUUAGAUAGAUUUCUAAAUUAUUAAAAAUAGUACAGAAGAAUAAAUCUUGGAGAAGUCUAAUCCUUGAUUAUGUUACAGGAAACAAACAGACAAUCACUAUCUAAAAAAUGCUCCAGGAUUAGGUUAUUCUUUAUUGGACUUUGUUGUUGCACAAGCACUCUCAAAGAAUUGGUUCUACUUGAUUUCGCAACACGUGUUGGAAUGAUGAGGUAAAUUAAACUAAACUAUAUCAUGCUUCUUUAAACUUUUACUAAAAAUGUACUCAUUAUUACGAAAUAAAUAGAAUCUAAUAUAUGAUUACAUAUCAUACAUGUGGUCUCAUGUAUAACCACAUUUUAAACAUGUCAUGGUAACAGAUCAUACAUUCAUUAUCUUUGUUGAAAACAUAAUAAUAACUAUAACAUAUGACUUUGUUUUAUGAUUACAUAUUAUACAUGUGGUAUGAUAUAUAAUCACAUUUUAUACAUGUUAUGUUAACAGAUCAUAUACUCAUGUUCAUGACCAAUACAUAAUAAUAACUAAAAUAUAUGCCUUAGAAUCAGUUGUAUGGUUAAAUAUCAUACAUGUUGUGUGAUUUAUAAUCACAUCAUAUAAAUGUAAUGAUACUAGAUCACUAAUUCAAGUUCUUAAGCAAUACAUACUAAUAACUAAACAUAUGCAUUUUUAUUUCAGUGUUUAACAUAAUCUUACCCUUUUUAACAUGUAGCACUUAGAUGUGAUAUUCUACCAUUUGACAAAAAAAUCAAAGUUGCAACAGUGUGAUACAUAUAGAUAUACGAAAAUCAGCUGCUUCUUCAAAACAUAUAUUGAAAAGACAUACGAACGAUAUUUUCCAACAGUUAAAGCAGAGCAGAUAUCCACGCAAGAAAACUACGUAAAAUUCGUUGCUUGUUCUUCAAAUGAAAUUGAUAUAACAAAUAUAAUUAAUGGAUUCUGUAAUCCUGCGAAUUUACCAUGGCAUUUGGUUGAUGAGGUAUAUGUUCCUGUUAACUGUGAAAAAGAAUAUCACUGGGUAUUGACUGUAAUUGUGUUAAAGAAAAGAACGGUACGUGUGUAUGAUUCAUCGUCAAGCAAAAGAAAAAAUGAACCACCAAUCGAAAUACGAAAUUAGCAGCCAUGCUGCGUACUUACUUGUCGGACAGUGAUGUUUUUCAAAAGACUGAAAGAAUUGACUGGUCAACACUUAAAGCGUACGAAGGGAAGCUUGGUCUGCAAACUGGAGAGAUAAGUCACAACCCAUUUGAUAUUGAAUACGCCAAAAACAUUCCACAACAAGCGUCUGAUAGUUUGUAAGUGUCUUUUACUUUUUAAAUUUUAACAUAUAUAAUCAUGGUAAAUUAGUUAAAGGAAUGGUUCUUUCAUUUUUUUAAAAUAUCAGGGACUGCGGGGUCUUCGUGGCUGCAUAUGCAGAAAUAUUGAGUGAAGGGCAGCAAGUCCAUUCAUGUGAGUUUGAAGGUUGCAAGUCAACGUGCAUGAUAUGCUUCGUUACUAUGGCAUUACGGAGUGAUGAAGACAAAGAAAGGUUAUACGAGUGAUAUUGACGAUCCUCCUCGGCCAAAAAAUACUUUUGUCCAAUCACCUGAUGAAAGUGCAAUUGUUACUUUGGAGUAGCUCCUUCUAAAAAUAUUCUAAUUGCUUUUUUAGUUGUUUCUGCUAAAUAGUUAUACACAGUAAUAUUUUUUUGAAUGUUGAUUUUUACGCAACAUUAUAUGGGUGGCAGUUUUUGUUCUACUACAUUUACAUUUACAUAAACUCUAUUGUGCUUAUUCUAUAUUGUUUGUUAAUUAGUCACUUUGCCAAACAUAAUAUUACCAACACUGUAUAACAACAAUUUAUAUAUUAAUGAAUUAUAUAUAGGUAAAACAUUGUGUUUUUUUCCAGCAUUAAAGAAGUUAAUAUUAUAUUAUGAGUUAAUUAUACAUUGAACAAGUAUCAAUUUAUUUUUGAUAAAUUUAUUAUAUAACAUCAUACACGUUGACACUCUUUCAUUGCUGAAUUGAAAACAGCUAUGGCAUUCAAAAAAAUUUAAGAAGAAUAACAGCAGAUCGUAAAUUCUAAACAAACAAAAUGUAUUAGUCAUUUGACGUAAUACUGAUAAGAAAAUAAGAAAAAGUUUUAAUACCAUACAUACAUCUUAAUGUAUAAUCUAUACUCUUAACACAAAAUUCUUUGCUUUAUAUUUUGCUAGUUCUUAUGUUUUUUAAAAUCAUUUACUUUAAUAUCAUACAUGUUGUUAAUGUAUAAUAGUAUAGAAUACAUAAUAUAUAUAAGACAGGUUAAUGUUAAAUAUAUUAUACAUUAUAACUACAUAUUACUACGUUACAAUAAUGAGCAGUAAAGUCACAAAAUAUAAUAAUUCAAAACUGUAUUAUUUGGUUGCGAAAAUAUCAAACAUUAAGUAAUAAUUAAACAUCACAUAACAGUUAAAAACAUAAAAUAAACUUUAACAAGUAUCAACAAAAUAAAAAAAAAUGAUGUUCUGUAGUUAUAACCAAACGAACAAUUAGCAUUUAGAACAACAAAAUAAAAUCUGUAACUUUUUUUGGGGAAGAAACCUCACGUCCUAUGGUUGUGGCCUGCACGCCUGCAUUUACUGUAAUGAUUUGAACUUAUAAGUGAUUCACUAGAUUUCAAAUGCCUUCCUUUCUUUGGCCUCCUAGGAGGUCUUUUGUAUUUGGGUGGCAAAACUUCGUCGGCAUCAACAAAAUGUGAAACAAUCCAAUCUUUCAUCUCUGGCAUAGGAACUAUGGGGAGUUCAUAUGUCUUGACAAUGGUGUUUGGCCUGUACAAUUCUGAACAGUAACGUCCAUACUCUUUUAAAUCAAUAUUUAUACUCUUCAAAAUGCUAUUGCGUGUGCACAUGAAAUUUCAUCAAUUUGAUACCGACAACAGUUACACGUGUCAUGAUCAAUAUCAAUAAUGUACCUCCUUCCUGAUUCAUACACACAGUACAGAUAACUACCAGCAGCCUUAACCUGUUAACAAUGAUUAAUUUUAUACAGUAAAAAAUAUAUAAAUUAAUAACAAAUAUAAAGUAGAUUCAACUAUCAUAAUACAUACCAUCAUCCGUAAUGACUUAACUCCAUUAUCAGUUAGAAUUUCUUGAAAUCUUCUCCCAAACGUUGUGUUUGUAUAAGAUGCAAUUUCACUGUUCUUACAAUUCCAUGCAGCGAAUAGAAUCUUAACUUCUUCAAGGAAAUCUAAAAUAGGAAGUACUCUAGCCUCUACCAAACAACAGUUAAUACAUUCAACUAUAUUAGAGGUCAUCAUUCUACCUUUAUUAAUAGGAGAGUGACAUCGAGAUCAUUUAUCAUAUCCAGCUUUUUCCAGAUAUUCCUUAACCCUUGGAUCAACCUUUUCAACCUUUGACACAAUGUAAUCAAAAUUUUCUUUUCUAUACGCUUUAGCCAUGGAAUAAUAAAGGUCACUAAGUCUAUCUUUGCUUUUUCUAAAAUAUUUAUAAAUAUUUUUUCAUAAAUGUCAAAUACAUGCAAGAUGGGGGACAUUAGGAUAAACAAUGCUCUCGCCCUUUAUGAUACACUCAUUUCGAUCCGAUACAACACACAUAUUGUCCCGUUUUCCAAAUGCUUCUUUAAAUUGAUGAAAAAAUUAAGUCCACGCAUUGUCAUUUUUUGAAUUCACAACACCAUAAGCUAAUGGAAGAAUACAUCCUAAACAAAAACAAACAAACAAAUUUAUAUGUAUAGUUCUAUAAUAUGUGUACACCACUGAACAGGUUUCUAAUUAUUUUACAUUUAAGUAAUACAUGACAUCAUACAUGUUGUCCCACCUUUAUCACUUAAUUGAAAACAAGUACAAAUAUAUAACAUCACACAUUUUAAUAACGUAUAACAAUACAUCAUACAUUGUAAAAAUACUGCUAGGAAAUUAUACAUUUAAUUAUUAGUAAAUGUAUGAGACAUUAAACGUAAAAUUGACAAGAAAAUAUUGAUAUUUUACAACAUCAUACAUACACCAUAACGUAUAAUCGCUAAUCAUACACAUAUCACACAAAUCAAAAUCUACUUAAGUUUUACUUAUUCUGUUUUAAAAUGAAAAUGCAAUUUAUAGAGUUGUUUAAACAGAAAGUAGCAUCUACUUUAUAAAAAAAAUUAAUAACACAAAAUAAAAGGCAUAAAAUCAGCUACUUGGUGAAGUACUAUAUGUACUCACUAAGCAAGUCCAAAUUUUAUUAUACAUACAUGGGCAACAUACAAUCAGCUAUAAUUCAUGCACAAUGCUGAAAUAUCAAAGAUGAAAAUUUUAAAGUAUGAUACCUGCACCAUCAAGAGUGCUCGCUGAUACAAACGUUCCUUGAUAUGGCCCGAUUAAAUGAGCACCAUCUACAACUACUAUUGGAUGGCAAAAUUUGAACCUCCUAAUCAUUGGAUGUAAGGCAAUAAAUAAGUAUUUAAACUCGUUAUCUAAUGUCUUAUCCAUCCGAAUGUAUGAUCCAGGAUAUACCUGGUUCAACAUAUAUAUAUAACGGGGCAUUUUUCGAUAUCCAUCAGCUGGUCCACCUCUAAGAAUCGCAAUUGCCUUUUCCUUUGCCCGUCAAGCCAUCAUGUAGUUAAUAUCAACACCAUAGACGACCUUCAUCUCUUCAAUUAUGUCUGUCGGUGUAUGUAUUCUCUUGUAAUUAAUUAACUUUGGUGCAGUAAAUUCACUGACAAAGGCUGUUGUUGCAACCAAAUUAUUCAGUAUUCUAUCACUCAGACUGCAAUUAUGUUUCGAAUCAAAUAUCUUUAUCGCAAAAAUUUCCGAAUGAUUCAUCGAAUAUGCCUUUAGAACACAUUUGCAAUCUUUGACACGGCAGUGUAACACAUAGCUGCAGUUACAUUUUAAAACAUGUUGUCAAUUUAUUAACGUACAUAUAAAUUCAAUAAUUUAAGUCAAAAUACCAUAAUUAAAUUGUUAUAGUUUUAUUAUACAUUCGAAUGAAUGUAUAAUGGCAUAUUAUACAUUGUAAAUAAAACUCCAUUUUGUGCAAACAGCAAAACCAGAAAUUGAAGUCAACAAUGAAACUCCAUUACCAAAGGCUAUUACAACACAACAACAUCCUUCACAACAUCUACAAAUAAAAAAUGAUAAUUUAUUUCAUACCUUUGUUUGUCAGAUCAUUUAGUAAAGGUGUUGAAGCCAUUCGAUAUCGCAUAUUUCGCCAUAACCGAUACCAAAGUUUGCUUAUCCUUAUAACGCUGGUUAACUUUUAUUUCAGUGUUCUUCAAAUUCCAGAACGUAUAAUGAAUAUUGAUUCUGAGUUUCAACAACAGUUAAAGCAACUGAAUCAGAUUCACUACCUUCAAUACACAUUACAACCCCAGUUUUACUAUCAAACUCGAUAUCCUUAAUCGAUUUAUUGAAAGUUUGUAUACAUAGCGAAAAAUUUAUAAUUCCAGAACCUUGUUUCUUCAACUCAAUAUAAACCUUCACUCCAUUAUCAUUUCUUAUGAUAAUUGGAGAAGAAUUACCAUCAACGAUGUAUUUUACUUCAAUUUUUUUCGUACAUCGUCAAUACCCAAUUCCAUCAUGAUUUUCGCAAUCAAUUUCAAAAAGUUAAUACUUUCUGAAAUAACAAUGGCAUCACUUUUGUAUGCUUUAAAACUUAUUUCUGCCUCCCAUACACCAGAAUGACGCAAACAUAUUGGGAUGUUCAUCUUUUUUCUCACAAGAAAUCACGAACAAAAUUUUUUUUCUUCCGAAUCGUAAAUCAAAAAAGAAGUCAAUUAGAGGUAAAGUUUAAGAGUUUUUUUUUUAAAUUCAAAUAUCAGUUACUAUUUUAACUCAUACAAUAAUUAACAUCAGGUAAUUAAAUAGCGUAAUUUAAGAAGUAGGGAUACAUUUACUAAUUCUCAAUCUCAUAAUUUUAGGUUAAUCAGAUUUAUGAUACAUUCAACGAACGUAUAACUACCAUCCGAAUGUAUGACAAUAUUUUACAAAAUAAGGAGAGAGAAAAUUUCAAGGGAGAUUAUGUAAAUAGUUUUACUUUAUGCGAUAUAUAUAUAUAUAUAUAUAUAUCUAUCUAUAUAUAUAUAUAUAUAUAUAUAUAUAUAUAUGUGGUUUAUACCGUCUAGAAAUGGUGGUGCAAAUAUACUCUUCGAUAUAGUCAAAUGUUUAGACUUAAAUGACGUAUUCAAUGACUCUUUUAGUGUACUAUCAAGUUUAAAUAAGAGGCCAGGACAAUCUCGUCAAUUUUCUUUAAAACUCGAGAAAAGUCUUCCAGAAAAUGACCUAACAAUACAACAAAAAAAAUUCUUCUUUCCUUGCUCUAAUAGAGUUUACAUUAUAUAUACAUUGAUGGCAUAAAAUAUUCAUAUAUUAUCAAUUCAUCUUUAAAAUGUUUAUAAUUAUUUAACUGCAUUUAUUUUUAUUACGUCUAAAAUGAUGAAAAUUUUAAUGAUGUUUUCCAUAGAAUCAGUCAGAAAAUGUCCGACGAGCCAAACUUCAACGAAUUUUCGAUCGGACACUAAAAAAGAUUUUCAUAUGACAAUUUUGUUCCACAAUAGGAUGUUUCUUGGGCACCGGCCGAUAUUUGUUACAUAUAACAACUUAAUUAUCUGCACACUGAUCUUUUAUGGUUAUUUACAAAUUGUAUAAAGGAAAAUUAUCUGUUCGAAUUUCGUAUAUGUAAAAAUAAAGAUCUUUUGUAUAAAGAACUUACGACGAAAGAUAAGAUUAUAAAAGAGUGCAAAACCAAAUCUUUCUUAUAAUUUAUUGCUAAUCUUUGUCAAGAUUAACAAUUAUGAAUUAGCGAAGAAUCUUGUUAUUUAGCUAAUAAUUAAUCCGUCCAUCGUUGUUUUCUAGCACUGAUAUUCGAGUUUUAAUAUCGUCCAAUUUGUAAUUAUUCCCCCCGUCUUCUCUAUCGAUCGAUGAGAUGGCUGCAACUGAACAAUUGACACCAUUAAAAUUCAAUGAGACACCAAUACAUCUCAUAGGCUAAGUCCCUUUUAUGCUCCGAAGGACGAUCACUUUGUCUAUGACUACCUUUCUAUACUUCAAACCGUAUGCUAAUUGCUUCCUAUUACAUGGUAUGAGACUUGUAAGAGUGACUCCUGCACCUAACUCAACCAAAAGCUAGAUCAUGGGGGAGGGGAUUGUCCAAUUACAUAUAAGUAAAUCGUCAGUCCAUUCUCCAAUUUAUAAUGUGAAACUUUCACCACUCUUAACAAGAUUGAUUUAAUGCAAGUUAUGAUUUAUUUACAAAUUUGUUCAGGAAAUUCCUACAUAUUAGAACUUAUUCCAGAAAUAUUCCACAACAACAAUAAUAACAUAUAUACUCAGUAAAUUUUCAUAAGUGGGGUUUAGAAAGUACAGUGUAAGUUGAUCUUACUACUAUCUCAUGGAGGUAGAGAGAUUCUUUCUAAAGAACCCUUGGCUAAGUGUACCAACUCCAAGUUAAAAAAAAAAAAAAAGAAACAAACAGUAAAAAAUUUUAUGGAUUAAUAAGUAAAGCAACGCAAAGCCUACAAAAAAGGAAGAAUAACAACAAGAAGCUAGAUAAUAAGAAAAAAUAUUUAAUUAGGUAAAGACCAUAGAAUAGUUACUUUAAAAUAAGAGGAAAAUUGAACUUUAUAGAAACAUUUUUUGUUCAACACAAUAUCAUAUGUAUUGAGUAUCAUACAGAACAUUACAUGACCAUGACCAACCAUCCAUUGGAACACUAUUGAAUGGCUUUAUUCAUACAAGUAAAAGUUCUAAAGUAGCAAGAUUUUUAUGGUCUUUGCCACUUACAUAACAAAGCAUUACAUUAAUAAUACAUAAUGAAGCACUAAUUAAUUAGUUCUGAGGUUUAGAUCCAGUGUCUUUUUCCAUGGCCUUAUAUUCUUCAUAGGUGCAGCAAUGUCCAUGGCAUUUAUAAUGACAUUUUUUAGGUUUAUAUCCACCAUCAACUUCUACUUCCUGCUGUGAUUCAGUGGCUUUUUCCAUGGCCAUAUAUUCUUCAUAGGUGCAGCAAUGGCCAUGGCAUUUAUAAUGACAUUUUUUCUUAGGUUUAUAUCCACCAUCAACUUCUACUUCCUGCUGUGAUUCAGUGGCUUUUCCCAUGGCCAUAUAUUCUUCAUAGGUGCAGCAAUGGCCAUGGCAUUUAUAAUGACAUUUUUUCUUAGGUUUAUAUCCACCAUCAACUUCUACUUCCUCGUGUGAUUCACUGGCUUUUCCCAUGGCCAUAUAUUCUUCAUAGGUGCAGCAAUGUCCAUGGCAUUUAUAAUGACAUUUUUUCUUAGGUUUAUAUCCACCAUCAACUUCUACUUCCUCGUGUGAUUCACUGGCUUUUCCCAUGGCCAUAUAUUCUUCAUAGGUGCAGCAAUGGCCAUGGCAUUUAUAAUGACAUUUUUUUUUAGGUUUAUAUCCACCAUCAACUUCUACUUCCUGCUGUGAUUCAGUGGCUUUUUCCAUGGCCAUAUAUUCUUCAUAAGUGCAGCAAUGUCCAUGGCAUUUAUAAUGACAUCCUUUGUGUCCUCCACCUUUAUUAUAAUGGUCACCUCCAACACCAUCAACGUCUACUUCCUUCGCUGCUGCAUCGAUGAAUUGAGAAUAUUAAAACUUAUGCAUAUGCAUGUACUCACGACUGAUCUUUGAAUUGAAAUUUCAAUUUAUGUGUAGUACUUUUCAUUUCAUUUCGUUAUAGUUUAAGAUAAUUCCUCUUACUAUUAUAUAUAUUUAAAUAAAUUCUUAGUUUCAAUAUAAUAUGUUUAAAUAUUUUGAAUUGAAAUUUCAAUUUAUGUGUCGUACUUUUUAUUUUAUUUUGUUAUAGUUAAGAUAAUUCCUCUUACUAUGAUACAUAUUUAAAUAAAUUUUUAGUUUCAAUAUGAUAUGUUUAAAUCUACAAGAUUCAAAGGAUAUUUUAGUAUGUUCUAAACACAAUUUAGUUUUGUUUAGCAAGGAUUGAGAAGUUUAUGCUAUAUUCUUUAAAUUCAGGCAUAGUAACUGAGAAGCAUAAGGAAUAUAUAUUAAGUGUCAUGAUCAAGCUAGUGUUAGUAAAACAUUAGGUUAUCAUCUCACAUUUAUAAAAACUUACAAAUUUUAGUUUGUGGUCUAAUCUCAGAAACAACUUCUCUAUCUUGCAAAGAUUGGAGUAACAUCAACUUACAUAUUCUAUAUAUCUUCCGUAGUCUCUACUUAUGAGAUUACACUGAAGAUAUAGUGUGUGAUUUAAUUUUAAAUUUUCAUAAAAUUUUCAGAAUGCUCACAUUGAAUAUAAUUUUAAACAGUGGUUUAAAAGUUCUAUUAAGUAGCAUAAACAAUAAAAAGAUGACCAUUUACUAAAAGGAAAAGCCGAUUAAAAUAAGAUAUUAUCUUCAAUUAAAUGCUAGGAGUAGAACCUGUUAAAAUACUAAUAGCAUUUCACAUGCUGGACAUAUAUUUACUAUGUCACUAAAUUAAGAGCGAUAAAAAACGUGUAAAGUAAUGGAUAAAGAUAUGUUAAUAUGGCUAACGUAGUAACAUCAAUAGGUUUUUUUUUUUUUUUUUUUUUUUCCGAAUGAAUUCAAUUACGUAAAAAGAUAAUGAAAGAUAAUACUUAC